rnacentral:rRNA from 1 species
AUGGACUGCGCAUUCUAUAUGUACAUGAACGUGAAACACUACUCCAAAGAAGGAACAACAGCGGUCUUAGAGGCAAAACAACCAUGCCAUCUCAAAGAAUCUAGCACGAACGACAAAGAAAAGGAUCCACCAAUAGAACCAGAACAACCACCACCAGAUGACACGAUACCACUCCAACCUGAAGACCGAACGGACACCAAUAGCAAGCAAAAUAUCAACAGCAAUACCAUGAGCACACAACAACUUGAACAAACAGGCACUGCUAUAAAAGAGGUCGACAGAAGCAACGACGUGCCAAAUACACAAGAACAGGUUUUCGAGCAGAAAAAACAACAUGUCCUUCUUCGAGAAGACACAUGCUCGACAAGCAAUCAGCAAGGCACCUCCAGCACCAUCUCUUUAGACUUCCUAAAACCAAAAACAACAAAAAACCAUGAAGAAGUUGAUAAAUUUCUUUUAAGCCUUAACCCGCACCAACUACAGACUCCUACAUUUGUCCCAGGAGAUUUCAAAUUUAUGAACAAAGCCAAGGCACUUCAUGAAUACCUAUCCUGCAAAGAAGGACAGGACGAAUGUAGACACUCAAAGCGACCCGAUUGGAUUACAGGACAAAACAUAAUGGAACAGCUGCAAAAAGGAGAUGGACAGAUGGACGGCUCCAUCGCAAACGCAUUGUUCGAAGAAUGGACAGUGCAGCAACAAUACAACACCACCGAUAAAGCCAUACUAUCUGUAGAAUUUGCAAACAUUAAAAGGAUGUAUGCACUCAUGAAGGAGCAUUAUGGAGAAACGGUACUAGAAGACAACAGUGAACCGAACUGGUCGAGGAUAGCAGAAACACCUAACAGAGUUUGCAUGCCAAAAGAACAGGUUACCCAAUGCGGACACUUCAUGGUUCAAUUUGCAAAAUACUGGAAUGGCAUUGAUCUCACAAAAGACGACGAGGAUUUCCAUAUAUUCAUUCCACUCGAGAAGGAUAACCGCUACGUGUUGUAUAUGCUGGACAAAUAUAAAAACAAAGUUCAUAUUAUUGAUCCUCGAGAAACAACUCCAGAAGAAUUUCAGAAAGAAAAGGUAGACAUGCAUAAUUUGCAUCCAUUAGAAGCAGAUCGAAUUCUUCAGGAAAAGGAUGAGGCUGAACAGGAAAGAAAAGAACAGUUUGAAAAAUAUCAUGCUCAUAAGUCAUCAAUCUUCAUCGAAGACCUGGAAGAUUUGACACCCGUGCCUCCAGACUGGAGAUACUGCACACCAGUGCCUCUGCAGGCGACAAGGCCCCAUGCCUCCGGAGAAGCUAGCUGCUCAGCACACGUGACUGGAGAUGCUGCACACCUGUGCCUCCGCAGGAGACAAGGCCCCAUGCCUCCCGAGAAUACACACAUGUGCAUGCACACACGUGACUGGACAUGCUUCAAAUCCGUGCCUCCUGAGAAUACACACAUGUGCAUGCACGCACAUAUCUCUAGUGCCUCAACCGUCGCUAGCUGCCAGCGCCGCAACAAUCCCUUCUGGCGGCUGUGCACGACCUACCCGACCUGCCCUUCCCCGUCUGACCUACCUGACCUUCCCUUCCCGGUCCAGCCGCCGCGGCCCCUCAUGCUCGACCUGCCCUUCCCUGUACAGCCGCCGCGGCCCCUCAUGCUCUCCCACCUACCGCCGCCAAGCAUGCUUGCCUCCAGCCAGCCGCCCCUGUUGACCCUGUCGCCCUCACUGCCGGUGGUCCCCGGCGAGCAACCUCUCCAGAGAUGCGGGAUCCAGCCACCGCCGCCGCCAUGGAUUCCGCCUCCAUUCCCCAAUCGAUCGUCCUCAUGGCUAGUCACCGCUGGUUGUGCCAGGGAUGGAAGGAUGCUGAGCGUACUGCUCUCCGGAUCGAAAGGCUACAAUUUGCUUCCAUUUAAGUCAAUUUUGCCCACAUGCUUUUCUAAGAUGGAUAGCACCGCAAAUUCUUCUACAAAUCCUGGUAGCCGUUCAGUCCAACGCGGUCGUGGGCGCCCCCGUCGUCAGUCACAACCAGUUGUCAUACCUGAAAUAAACCAAUUUGCUUCUUUCGAUAACCACCGCCGACGUACACAACUUAUAAAUAGAGGAGGGAAAAUCUUGCUGAAACCAUAUGAUCCUCCUGCUCAGCCUCUAUUGGAUUUAUUAACCUCACAGAACACUUCAACUUCGAACCACUUUUUUGAUCAUAUCUGGCAGUAUAAUACCAUGUUUGCGAUGACUUCAAUGGGUGCUAAAGUUAUUGAAUCCAUAAAUGAUGGCCGAGCACCCUAUGUUUUCAAGAUUAGUGGUCAAGUCUGCCAUCGUAUCGGUUCUCUAAUGCGACCUGAGAAUCAUCGACCAGAAUAUGCACAAUUGUACAUCUAUGAUACAGAGCAUGAGGUUAGAAACCACAUAAAUAUUACUGCAUCUUCUCGCCCUUCAUCAUCUCGGUCUUCGUCUAUCCGCCCUUCUUUCAAUGCUAAUCACGAUAUUGUCCAGUCCCUUAUAUCAAUGCUUAACACCCAUAAUCCCAUAGUGAAACUAUUUAGAACAGCACGGGAAAGAUUGACUGCAGAUGCUCCUGAUCAGUUCUUUAUCAGAUUAUAUGGCAAACCUGACACACAUGGAGACAUCUAUAGUGCUCCAGUCGCAUCUGAGGUUGUAGGGCUGGUUGUUGGUGAUAUUGGGUCAACUGAUGUUGGGCGGGACAUUAUAAUAGAUAACCGUUCAUCAGGAUUACAACAAAUCAAUGAAAAACAUUGCAAGUUUAUGGCUAUGCAGUAUCCUCUAUUAUUUGGAGAGGAUGGUUACCAUGAUGACCUCAUGUACCGCACCUCGCCACAAAGUCAAGCUAUAAGCCGUCAGAAAGUAACUAUGCUAGAGUACUAUGCAUAUAGACUAGAUGAUAGACCAGGUGAUUUCAACACGCCAUUGAGAGGAAAUAUGGCUGCCCAGAUCUCUUUGUCACAUUCACUUCAAAUGCAGCUUGGCCUGAGAUAG